UCCUACCCCAAAGAUACACAUUAAUACUGGCGGUCGAUGCAAAUACCGGGCGAGACUAGAGAAGGCAAGAAGAACCUUCGUUUACGCCCCGAACCUGGUGUUUCAUUGCUGAGUGACAUGAAGAGGUCUGGGAUGUCACCAACCUUCCCCCCUGGUUCCCUUCCUGGUGAACUCCUCCAGCCUACUCACUGGCAGUGCUGUCCCAAAUACAGGUUCUUCUGUCUUUUGUGGCACCAGGAAGCUAGUGAGGUUUUUACAGCUGACAGACCUUACACACCUCUCUGCUGGGAAAGAGCCCUUCACUUUCAUCCCUACUGCAGGGAAAGUUCCUUUAAUUCUCAACUUGGCUGA
rnacentral:lncRNA from 1 species